rnacentral:rRNA from 1 species
CAGUGUAGCGCGCGUGCGCCCCGGACAUCUAAGGGCAUCACAGACCUGUUAUUGCUCAAUCUCGGGUGGCUGAACGCCACUUGUCCCUCUAAGAAGUUGGGGGACGCCGACCGAGAUUGAGCAAUAACAGGUCUGUGAUGCCCUUAGAUGUCCGGGGCUGCACGCGCGCUACACUGACUGGCUCAGCGUGUGCCUACCCUACGCCGGCAGGCGCGGGUAACCCGUUGAACCCCAUUCGUGAUGGGGAUCGGGGAUUGCAAUUAUUCCCCAUGAACGAGGAAUUCCCAGUAAGUGCGGGUCAUAAGCUUGCGUUGAUUAAGUCCCUGCCCUUUGUACAC